GCCGGCUCUGUAACCCCUAUUUUUUUCCAUCCCCGUUUUCACUGCUCUGCAUGUGAAAUCACUUCCAGGGAUUGGUUGUGCCACAAGAUGCCUUUUAGCUUUAUAUAUUUAUAUGGGUUUCAUUGUUAUGGUUUUGAUUGUUACAGUUAGUUAGUAUGUUUUGUUAUCUCACAGGGUAAAAAAAUUUUUAAAGAUUUAUUUGUUUAUUUGGAAGUCAGAAUUAAACAGAGAGAGAACAAGAGGCAGAGAGAAAGAGAGGGAGAGAGGAGAGAGGAGAGAGAGAGAGAGUCUUCCAUCCACUGAUUCAUUCUCCAAUUUGCGGCAACUGCUGGAGCUGCGCCGAUCCAAAGCCAGGAGACAGGAGCCUCCUCCUGGUCUCCCAUGCAGGUGCAGGAGCCCAAGCACUUGGGCUAUCCUCUGCCCUCCCGGGCCACAGUAGAGAGCCGGACUGGAAGAGGAGCAGCCGGGACUCAAACCAGCACCCGAUAUGGGAUUUGGGCACUUCAAGCAGCGGCUUUUACCUGCUAUGCCAUAGUGCCGGCCCCUAAAUAUUUUCAUACCUCUUCUUUUUCACCUGUGUUGGUCAUGUCUUAGUUUUUAAGCUGGAUUGUGGUUACGUUUCCUUGUUACUGUUAACUCAUUUUAGUUUUUCUUCCUAUGUGAUACUUCAUAAUGCAUACUUUAAGCUCUUUGGGUGUUUUCUUUAGGAUUGCAUUGAAUGUAGAGAAUAAUUAGGACAGAAUUGACAUCUUUAGAGUUUUGAAUUAUCCUGUUGAAAAAUAUAGUACAAGUCUUCAUUUAUAUAGAUUUUUGCGUAUUUUUAGUACAUUUUUUAAAGUUUUGUUCUGUUGGUUUGUACGAAUGCCUUAAGGGCUGAUUCUGAGGCCAGAGUGCUAUUUAGCACAUCAUCUGCCAUUCUGUGAGUCUGCUGUGUAUCCUGCUUCCCAUGUUGGAUCGUUCUCUCCUUUUUAAUUCUUUUUUUUUCUUUUUUUUUGACAGGCAGAGUUAGAAAGAGAGACAGAGAGAAAGGUCUUCCUUUUUCCAUUGGUUCACCCCCCGAGUGGCCACUACGGUUGGCGUAUUGCGGCCAGCGCGCUGCGCUGAUCCGAAGCCAGGACCCAGGCGCUUCCUCCUGGUCUCCCAUGCGGGUGCAGGGCCCAAGCACUUGGGCCAUCCUCCACUGCACUUCCGGGCCACAGCAGAGAGCUGGACUGGAAGAGGAGCAACCAGGACAGAAUCCGGCGCCCCAACCGGGACUAGAACCUGGGGUGCCGGUGCUGCAGGCGGAGGAUUAGCCUAGUGAGCCACAGCGUGGCCCUCUCCUUUUUAAUUCUGUCAGUUAGUAUUAGCAGACACUAGUCUUGUUUAUGUGAUCCCUUUUAAUCCUAUCAUUAUGAUCAAUUGUGAACUGAAACCGAUCACUUUGACUAGUGAGAUGGCAUUGGUACAUGCCACCUUGAUGGGAUUGAAUUGGAAUCCUCUGGCACGUUUCUAACUCUACCAUUUGGGGCAAGUCAGAUUGAGCAUGUCCCAAAUUGUACCUCUCCUCCCUCUCUUAUUCCCACUCUUAAAUUUAACAGGGAUCACUUUUCAGUUAAAUUUAAACACCUAGAAUAAUUGUGUAUUAAUUGAAGAGUUCAACCAAUAGUAUUAAGUAGAACAAAAACUCUUUUCUAUAGUAGUUUUUCAUCCAGAAUCUUCCUGAACACUUUAGUAAUUUUAUUUAGUUGAAAUGCUUGUAUGGUCUAUAUAUCUCUAAAUAGUGACUGUAAGUAAUUUUUUGAUAUGUGAACCUUUUAGGCUGUUGAAAUCUUAACUUCACUGAGACCUAUAAUACAAUGGGUGAAUAGUUUCAGUGAUGGCUGAGCAUCCUUGCUCAUCCUGAUUUUACUAGCAAAGUUCCUAAUUUAUUUUAUAUUGUUAUUUUUUUUAAGAUUUAUUUUAUUUAUUUGAAGGACAGAGUUACAGAAAGAGGAAGACAGAGAGAGAGGUCUUCCGACUACUGAUUGAUUCCCCAGUGGCCAUAAUGGGCAGGGAUGAGCUGAUCUGAAGCCAGGAGCUUCCUCUGGGUCUCCUAGGUGGUUGCAGUGGCCCAUGGAUUUGGGCCAUCCUCCACUACUUUCCGAGGUGCAUUAGUAGGGAGCUGGAUUGGAAGUGGGGGAGCCAGGACUUAAACCAAUGCUGCAGGCCAGGGCUUUAACCCAUUGCACCACAGCACUGGCCCAUUUAAUUGAUUCUAAUUGUGAAAUAAAUGUAUGUGUGUUUGAGUGAACAAAAUUUAAAACUGCAUAUAGCUAUGUUAUUGUGUAUAAUUUAUAAUCUGAUAUUAUCAAAUAUUACAUUUAUUUAUUUUGAAAGAGUUGGAGAGAGGGAGACAGAGAUCUUCCCUCCACUGGUUCACUUCCCAGAUUGCCAUAAAGAUGAGUGUUGGGCCAGAUUGAAGCUAGGAGCCAGAGCUUCCUCCAGGUCUCACAUGUGGUUGGCAGGGGUUGAAGCAUUUGAGCAGUCUUCUGCUGCUUUUCCCAGUCCAUUAAUAGGGAGUUGGUUGGAAGUGGAGCAACUGGGAUAUGAACCGGUACCCAUUUGGGAUGUCAGUCCCCUUCACUAAUACUUCAAAACAUUAUGGAGGGGCUGGCACUGUGGUGUAGCGGGUAAAGGUGGCACCUGUGGUGCUGGCAUCCUAUAUGGGUGCCGGUUCCAGUCCUGGCUGCUUCAUUUCAAUCCAGCUCUCUGCUAUGGCCUACGAAAUCAGUAGAAGAUGGUCCAAGUCCUUGGGCCCCUGCACCAGCGUGGGAGAUCUAGAAGAAACUCCUGGUCCUUGGCUUCAAAUUGGUGCAGCUCUGGCCCUUGCGGCCAAGUGGGGAAUGAACCAGUGGAUGGAAGACCCCUCCCUCCUUUUCUCUCUCUCUCUGCCUCUCUUAUCUCCAUGUGACUCUGACUUUCAAAUAAAUAAAUCUUUUUAAAAAAUAUGGAACACUUGAGACAUUUGGCCAUGUUUUUAGUAUGCCUUAUUGUUUGUAGAAAAGGAUAUGUGGGGCCAAAGGAGAUGGUAAAUAGAUCUUUUUUUUUUUUUUUUUUUUUAUUUUUUUUAUUUUUUUUUAUUUUUUGACAGGCAGAGUGGACAGUGAGAGAGAGAGACAGAGAGAAAGGUCUUCCUUUGCCGUUGGUUCACCCUCCAAUGGCCGCCGCGGCCGGCGCGCUGCGGCCGGCGCACCGCGCUGAUCCGAUGGCAGGAGCCAGGAGCCAGGUGCUUUUCCUGGUCUCCCAUGGGGUGCAGGGCCCAAGCACCUGGGCCAUCCUCCACUGCACUCCCAGGCCACAGCAGAGGGCUGGCCUGGAAGAGGGGCAACCGGGACAGAAUCCGGCGCCCCGACCGGGACUAGAACCCGGUGUGCCGGCGCCGCUAGGCGGAGGAUUAGCCUAGUGAGCCGCGGCGCCGGCCGGUAAAUAGAUCUUUAAUGUGAGGUUUUCUGUUUAUCUGGCUGGAGAUUAGGCCAUUUAACUAUUGCUCUGGCUGUAGGUGUCAGAGGAUAAAAUUUCCUCUGGUGGCCUGUGGGUUUUAUCUGGUGUUGUCUUCGGGUUUCCCUGGAGACAUAUUCUUAAAUAAGGUCUGAGAUGUGCAGUUGUUCCCCUGUGUAAUCCCCUGUGUUGUGGGAACAGUGGUGGGAAGUGUAGGGGAGGGGAAAUGGCAUAUCAUGCUGUGAGUAGGUGUCAGUCUGACUGUCUCCCUGGAGUGUGACCCACACAAAGGACUUCUAUGUUUUGUUUUGUUUCUUCUCUUUCAGGUGAGACAAAAAGGUUAGAGAAAACUGGCAUGGGGUAUUUUCCUCCCACCAGAUUGGUUGGUGUGGUAAAAUCCCAGAUGCUUAGGGUAUAGUAAAAUUGCUCCUCUUGAGGGCAGGCCUCUGUUAACAAGAAUGGAGUGCUCUGACUUGCUGUGUCGCGGCUACCUUUCCUGCCCUUUGUUGAAACAUGAUGUAUUUUUCCCUGAUUUGCACUGUGAGAACGUAGCUCAAUUCCUGGGGAUAAACCCUCAGAAGUGGGCUCCCCUAUGUCUUUUUCCUGCCCAAGUGUGAAACUCAAACUUGUUCACACUGAGCCUACAGCAAUUAAUUAAUUGCGUUAAGGGUUUUCCACUUUAGUUCCGGCAUCCUGCUGAGGUUUCCUCUCUGCAUGGUCUGUGAUUCUGUGGCUGCCUACCUGCCUGCCUAAGACAGCAGGUUGGGGACAGCAGUUGCUCUGUAAACUGAGUUCUCUAAUGGAUCUACGAAGAACUGUUCUUUUUUCUUUGAAGGAUGAGAGUGAUAACUUCCUUGUUGCACAUGUGUAAGACCAAAAACUAGAAGUCAUAUUGCCAUGUUUCUAAAGGUUGAUUUAUUUACUACUAAUAUUCACACAUAGCUAAAAUAGAGGGACACCAUAACUAAAAUAGAAAGACACAGAUUAGGAAUUUAUAUAUCAGGAGUCUACAUCGGUGGUUACAAGCAUGACACAUCAGAAAUAAAUUUUAUGCUACACUAACACAUUUGAAACUUCAUUUUUUUUCAUACAGCAUUUAUCAUGUCAAUAUUGUGUCAUUGUUCAACAAACACAUAUUUAUAUAGAAUAUUUUACAAAAAAUUCCUUGGGCAUCUGAUUUCUUAACGUUUCUGACUUGAUGAGAAAAAUUCCACAAAACUUAACAUGUCCAUGGUGGUCACCAUAGUGGAGGAAUGACUUGCUUGUUGGUAUCAGGUAACCAAUUUAAAAAAAUGCAUGAAGAAUUUCAUUACUCUUUAUAUUUUAAGAAAAUUUGCCACUUGAUGUCUUAGUAGACUCUAUCAAGAUUGCCUUAUCUGAAACUGCAUGGUCAUGUCUGAAGUUUCGUGAAGUAUUUACUGAAGUAAAGUGCUGCAUGCCAGCUCGCCCACUCACUGUUGAUCACUCCCUUCUGCUCUUGCACAUUCCAUGAGUGAAAAAAGGAACAGCCAAUAUUGGAAAGAAAAUAGAAUGCAUUUUUCUGAGUAUUAGCUUAAUAAUCAUUUUUCUCCUCCUACUCCUUUGGUUCAACCCAUUAUAAUACACAGUGUAAUGUUUUGAGCUGUGGUAAUUCAAAACUUUUUUUUUUUAAGGUUUAUUUUAUUUAUUUGAAAUACAGAGUUACAGAGAGAGAGGUCUUCUAUCUGCUGGGUCACUCCCCAGAUGACCACAAUGGCCGGAGCUGCACCAAUCUGAAGCCAGGAGCCAGGAGCUUCUUCCGGGUCUCCCACAUGGGUGCAGAGGCCAAAGGACUUGGGCCAUCUUCUGCUUUCCCAGGCCGUAGCAGAAAGCUAGAUUGGAAGAGGAGCAGCCAAGACUAGAACCAGUGCCCAUAUGGGAUGCCGGUGCUUCAGACCAGGGCUUUAACCUGCUAUGCCACAGCGCCAGCCAAGAUUCAAAACUUUUUAAUUGACUAUACAUGAUGUAGUUGCUGUUGUUAGAGCUAAGUUUGUAGAUUUAAAAUUGGGUAAUUGCUGCUUUCCAAAGCAAUUUUUAUUCAUACACACACACACACACACGCACACAUAUUUUUAAAGAUUGUUUUUAUUUACUUGAGAGGUAGAUUUGCAGGGGGUGAGAGGGAGAGACAGAGAGAAAGGUCUUCCAUCUGCUGGUUCAGUCCCCAAAUGGCCGCAACGGGUGGAGCUGAGCCUUUCUGAAGCUAGGAGCCACAAGCUUCUUCCAGGUCUCCCACGCAGGUGCAGGGGCCCAAGCACUUGGACCAUUUUUUACUGCUUUCCCAGCCCAUAACAGAGAACUAGAUGGGAAGAGGAGCAGCUGAGAUAUGAAAGGACACCCAUAAGGGAGGCUGUCACUGCAGGUGGAGGCUUAGCCUGCUACACCACAGUGCUGGCCCUGCAAAGUAAUUUUUGAGAAGAUGUUUGUCACUGGUUACAGAACUGCAGUGAGUUAUUGUUGAGCAUCAAAGUGUUGGUAAACUUCAAAGGCAUCCUUAAAAAACAUGAACAUUGAUUUUACAGGAAGAAAAACUUUUUUUUUUUUUAAAGAUUUUUUUAUUUAUUUGAGAGGUAGAGUUACAGACAGAGGAAGAGACUGAGAACCAUCCACUGGUUCACUCCCCAAAUGGCCGCGACAGCCGGAGCUGCGCCGAUCCAAAGCCAGGAGCUUCUUCCAGGUCUACCAUAUGGACGCAGGGGCCCAAGGACGUGGGCCAUCUUCCACUGCUUUCCCAGGCCAUAGCAGAGAACUGGAUUAGAAGUGGAGCAGCCAGGACUAGAACUGGCACAUACAUGGGAUGCCGGCACUGGAAGGGGAGGAUUAACCUUCUGUGCCACAGCGCCAGCCCCCAAAAAACUUUUCUCUUUAUAUCCUAUGCCUUUACUUUUAUUAUUUCUCCCUUGGCACUGAUUUUUCUGUAAUGCUAUUCUCCUUGAAAUGUAUAUUUUGACAUGUACACACAGUUCCUGUGGGGAGCAACUCGGACUAGACUAAGUUACUGGAAUUAAGACUUAUUCUAUGCAUCUGCUCUCCCACAAUAUGGCGCUGGGAGAGAAGAAAACAGCUUCUACACAGCUGCCUCCAGUUCAGCCAAUAAACAGCAGGACCUGCUCCUGAUUGGAGGAGAGCAGCGUACUCGGUGUGUGGGCAGCCGAGUUGGGAUUGGCGGAGGAGGACUAUAAAGGAGGAGAGAGAGAACAUGCACCAGGAACAUCUAAGGGGAACAUCUAGCUGAAGGAACACCUGUGCAGCCCCCGAGAGAGCCGGCCGGCGGUGUGCCGCUCCCCCGCGGAAGUGGGGAAUGUGGCAGGGGGAACCGCCCUUCCACGGAGGUGGAAGGACCAGCAGCCAACCCAGGAAGGACCAGCAGCAAACCCGGGAAGGGACAGUAGCCAACCCGGGAAGAACCAGCAGCAAACCCGGGGAGGGCCAAGCAGACGAAAGAACAGCGCAGGGUCCUGUGUCGUUCCUCCACGAAGACGGGGAGCGACAUAAUGGUGCCGUGACUCGGAUAUGAAGCCUAGGCAGGGUUUAGUGUUGCUCCUCCACGAAGAGGGGGAGCGACAAGUUCCCAUGUAUUAGUGCACACAACAACCCUGGCAUUUCUGCAGUGAGCCAUGUGUUGAUGAAAAAUCAGUGAGCAAAGUAGAUGUUGUUUCUGCUCUCCUGGCUCUCACACUGGUAGAGGACACAUUUUGCUUUAUGAAUAAAUGUGUAUGAUACCAGAUAAUGACAACUGCUGUUUGGAAAAACAAAGUGGGAAAAGAAGAUGGAAAGUAAUCUGCGAGAAAUGGGGCUCUUAAUUGAAGUAGGAUGUUGUGAGAGAGCUCCUCUGAUGGAUAGUGUAAGCUAGGAUUUAAGGGAGCAGACCGCAUACAGGAAGGAGCAUUGUAGUCAGAUAGGUUAGAAAGUGCAAAGGUGAUGUGUGUGAGAGAAACAUAAAAAAAGGCAGCGUACUGAAAGCCAGGAGGCUGACCAGUGGUGGAAAUGAGACCGGAGAGGUGACCAAGGGCUACUUCCUGUUCAGCCCUCCAGGUCGAGAAGACACCUUUUUAUUCUUUGUGAAAUGGGAAAUCACUGACGGUUGUGAGUGAAGAAACCAAGAGGAAGGACGGAAACUUUCCAGUGGUUUGAGUGUGACUUUGUACCUAGACUUGGAGGCUGUGCUGCCCAUGCUGUCCCCCCUCGGUCUGUGAGUCACCAUUUGGGAUGGAGUGUGGCAUGUUUUCUGCUGUGAGGUGGUUUAUUCCCUUAGGUAGCUUUUAUUUCUGCCAUUUUUGUUGUACAGAUUCAACCCAUGGUAGUAUGUGGGGUGAAAUGUAGGUUAUGGUGCUGGACCUACUGCGAGAAAGUAAGGAAACAAAAUAAGGGAGGUGCCCUGUGCUUGAGGAAACAGAGAGGAAGCCAGUCGACUGCUAGAGGAUCUUAGGUGUUCUGCAAAACGUGAAAGCCAUUACUGCAGCUUGAGAGAAUGAACCAACAGGUCUGAUGAGGUGACUAGAGCUCCAGACCAUGGGUAGUAAGGUCUAACCUGCAAAAUAAUUUGGUCUGUUCCUUCUAAGGCAACCCUAGGUGGGACUUGAAAUUCAAUAAAUAUCGGGCCGGCGCCGCGGCUCACUAGGCUAAUCCUCCGCCUUGCGGCGCCGGCACACCGGGUUCUAGUCCCGGUCGGGGCGCCGGAUUCUGUCCCGGUUGCCCCUCUUCCAGGCCAGUUCUCUGCUGUGACCAGGGAGUGCAGUGGAGGAUGGCCCAGGUGCUUGGGCCCUGCACCCCAUGGGAGACCAGGAAAAGCACCUGGCUCCUGGCUCCUGCCAUCGGAUCUGCGCGGUACGCCGGCCGCGGUGGCCAUUGGAGGGUGAACCAACGGCAAAGGAAGACCUUUCUCUCUGUCUCUCUCUCUCACUGUCCACUCUGCCUGUCAAAAAAAAAAAAAAAAAGAAAUUCAAUAAAUAUCUACAACCUGAUACCAUCAAUUUACUAAAGGAAAACAUUGAGGAAACCAUAAGACACUGGCAUAGGCAGAAACACAGGCAGUAAAGUAAAAAUAUACACAUAGGAUUACAUCAAGCUGAGAAGCUCCUGUACUGCAAAGGAAACAGCAAAAUGAAGAGGCAACAGACAGAAUGGCAGAAAAUAUUCACAAAAUAUGGAGUUGAUAAAAGAUUAAUAUCCAGACUCUAUAAAGAGCUUAAGAAACUCAGAAACAAUCCAAGAAAACAAGCAAUCCAGUUAAGAAAUGGGCAAAGGACUCUGAGCAUUUUUCAAAAGAGGAAAUUCAAAUGACCAACAGACACAUGGAAAAAUGCACAGGUUCACUAGCCACCAGGGAAAUGCAAAUCAGAAUCACAGUGAGGUUUCACCUCACCCUAGUUAGAAUGGCUGUCAUACAGAAAUCAGCAAACAAUGCUGGCAAUGAUAUGGGGAAAAAUGUAUCCUAAUUUACUGUUUGUGGGAAUGUAAACUAGUACAGCUAUUGUGAAGGCAGUAUAGAGAUAUCUCAGAAAGCUGAAAAUAGGUUUACAGUAUGACCCAGCCAUCCUACUCCUGGGAAUUACCCAAACAAAAUGAAAUUACUACAUGAGAGAGUUAUCUUGGGGCUGGCGCCAUGGCACAGUAGGGUAAUCCUCCACCUGUGACGCUGGCAUCCCAUGUGGGUGCUGGUUCUAGUCCUGGCUGCUCCUUUUCCAAUCCAGCUCUCUGGUGUGGCCAGCUCUCUGGUAUGGCAGUAGAAGAUGGCCCAAGUGCUUGGGUCCCUGCACCUGCAUAGGAGACUGGGAAGAAGCACCUGGCUCCUGGUUUCGGAUUGGUGCAGCUCCGGCCUUUGCAGCCAUGUGGGGAGUGAACCAAUGGAAGGAAGACCUUUCUCUCUGUCUCUCCUUCUCACUGUCUGUAACUCUACCUCUCAAAUAAAUAAAUAAAAUCUUUAAAAGAAAAAAGUUACCCCUAUGUUCAUUGCAGCUGAAUUCACAAUAGCUAAGAUAUGGAAUCAACCCUUAUGUGCAUCUGUUGAUAACUGCAUAAAGAAAUUGUGGCGUGUGUGUUAUGAAAUACUACUCAGCCAUAAAGAAGAAUGAAAUCCUGUCAUUCUCCACAAAAUGGAUGUAACUGGAAACCGUUAUAUUUAGUCAAAAAAGCCAGUCCCAAAAAGACAAAUAGCAUGUGUUUUCCCUGAUCUGUGGUAACUAAUAGAGUACCAAAAAUGUAAUGUAUAGGAGCGAAAUGGACAUAGUGAGAUUGGAUGAUUGUAGCCCUUGCCUCUACUGUUGAGGAACAGUGUCUUUAUUUUUUUCUUACUGUUUGUUGUUUUACUUAGUGUAGGAUUAAUCUUAGGAAUAUAAAGUAGACUGAAAGUAGAUCAUUGUAAAAAGGGAAUAAGAGGAAGGGUGGGAGCAUGAGUGGGAGGGAGGGUAGAGUUGGAAGUAUCACUAAAUCUGUGUAUAUGAAAUACAUGAAAUUGCACCUUAAAAUUUAAUGAAUUUUUAAUCAUUUAAUGUAUAGCAGGCUACUUUUUUUUCUUUUUCUUUUUUCUUUUCUUUUCUUUCUUUUUUUUUUUUUUUUUUUUUUGACAGGCGGAGUGGACAGUGAGAGAGAGAGACAGAGAGAAAGGUCUUCCUUUGCCAUUGGUUCACCCUCCAAUGGCCGCUGCGGCCGGCGCACCGCACUGAUCCGAUGGCAGGAGCCAGGUACUUCUCCUGGUCUCCCAUGGGGUGCAGGGCCCAAGGACUUGGGCCAUCCUCCACUGCACUCCCGGGCCAUAGCAGAGAGCUGGCCUGGAAGAGGGGCAACCGGGACAGAAUCCGGUGCCCCGACUGGGACUAGAACCGGGGGUGCUGGCGCCACUAGGCGGAGGAUUAGUCUAUUGAGCCACGGUGCUGGCCCGAAAAUCACUUACUUUCAAAAACUAAGUUUAUAAAUGGCAGGGGAGAAUUUUAUUUUAAUGUUUUCUUGAAUUCAUCUUUGGUUUGGUUUGGAUUAGUUUUUUGCUGUACCAUAAGGUGAAGUAAGCCUUUUAUUUCUUAACAAACAAUAUGAUUAUUGCAGUUUUUACUCUUUUUAAAGAUUUAUUUAUUUGAAAGGCAGAGUGAAGGGGAGCAUGUUCCAUAUGUUGGUUCGCUGCCCAUAUGGCUGCAACAGCCAAGUCUGGGCCAGGCACAAGGCAGGAGCUCCAUCUGGGUCUGCCUCAUUGAUGGCAAGUCUAUUUAUUUGGGACAUCUACCACUGCCUUUCCAGGCAUGUUGGAAGAACCUGGAUUGGAAGUGGAAUAGUUGGGACUCAAACUGGCACUGUGAUACGGGUUAUCAUAGUUGCAAGCAGUGACUUGAUUUGCUCUGUCCCAGUGCCAGCCCCAGUUUUAAGGUACUUAAAAUGUGACAUUAGCAAAAGUCAUAAUGUGUUUUAGCAUUUAAAGUAAAGGACAAUUUAAGUCCUCUUUGAAAUUAUGUAAUCUGUUUUAUACAGUGAAAGUAAACAUGUAACAGUGCAUACCAGUAAACAGUUAAAAGACACUGCAAUACAGAUGUCUUAUUGGUAGACAUAAGAGUAAUUUCUGGGUCGUUCUAUUACAGACUAUGGUGCAGGGUUUUUUUUUAUAUGUAUUUCCUAUUGCAUAUGUAUCUUUUAGUGAUCUUACUUCUUUAGCAUAUGUAUCUAGAAGUAGAAAUUAUGAGUGGUGGGGUAUAGACAUGAUUGGCUUCACAGGUUUGUGCCACAAAAUGAUAAUUGCUGCCACAGCAGUGUGCAAUAGUUACAGCUUUACAGCAUCUUUCUUAAUGCUUGAUCUUUUCUAACUUUAUUAUUUUUGCCAAUCUGAAGGGUAAAAUGGGAUGUCAUGGUGUUAACAUUUUUUUCCCUGGUUGCCUGGUAAAAUUGAGCAUCUCUUCACUUGCUCAAUGUCUUGUUUAUUGAUAGGCACCUCUUUUUUUUUUUUUUUUUUUAAGAUUUAUUUAUUUUACUUGAAAGAGUUACACAGAGAGAGAAGGAGAGGCAGAGAAAGAGAGGUCUUCAUCCACUGGUUCACUCCCCAGUUGGCCGCAGCAGCUGGAGCUGUGCCGAUCCGAAGCCAGGAGCCAGGAGCUUCUUCUGGGUGUCCCAAGUGGGUGCAGGAGCCCAAGGACUUGGGCCAUCUUUCACUGCUUUCCCAGGCCAUAGCAGAGAGCUGGAUUGGAAGUGGAGCAGCCAGGACUCGUACUGGCACCCAUAUGGGAUGCUGGCAGUGCAGGCGGUGGCUUGACAUGCUAUGCCACAGUGCGGUCCCUGUUCUAAUGUUUUGCUCAGUGUUAGUUCCAUAUCCGUUUGCAGGUUAGUUUCUCGGGGUCCCCGCUGUGGAGUAGUAGGCUAAGCUUCCGUCUGUGGCACCGGCAUCUCAUGGGCGCCUGUUGGUGUCCCGGCUGCUCUGCUUCUGAUCCAGCUCUCUGCUAUGGCCUGGGAAAGCAGUGGAAAAUGGUCCCCUGUACCUGCAUGGGAGACCUGGAAGAAGCUCCUGGCUUCUGAUCGUCUGAGCUCUGGCUGUGGUGGCCAUUUGGAGAGUGAAGUAGCAGAUGUAAGAACUUUCUUUCUGUCUCUCCCUCUCUUUCUGUAACUCUACCGCUCAAGUAAAUAUUAAAUAUUUUUUUUAAAAAAUUAGUUUGUCAAGUUUUCCAGAAGACCUAAUUGAAUUUGGGCUAGACUUGGGUUGAAUCUACGGAUAGUGAGUAUUCGGAUUCAUGAAACUGGUGUGUCUUUAUUUUUAGCUAUUUCUAUAAAGGCCUUAAAAAAACCUGUUACUGAAAAUGUUUGAACAUAUACAGAAGUAUACCAUAGUAUGAUGAACUCCGUGUACCUGUCUCUCACCUUCAACAGUUUUGUUCUUGUUUGAUCUUUUAUUUUGAAGCCAAUUCUGAGAUAUUACAUCAUUUCAUGCAUAAAUAUUUCAGUAUUUAUCUCUAAAAGAUAAGCACUUACUUAACCACGAUACAAAAAAGAAAUUUAAAAUUUUAUUUUACAUGCAAAUGUACAGUUUAAUAAUUAUGAAACCAAGAUGAGAGUACUACAAAGUCAUCAAGGAAAAUUAAAAUAAAAGAUUAUUUUGGUGCAGAAAUUUUUGAAAUUCAUGCAUAAAGUUUCAAAGUUCAUGGAAAUGUGUUAGGGACAAAGUAUAUAUGGGUUUCCAUAUUUUUUGUAUCAGAAUAAACUUCUUUUUUAAAGAUGUUAUUUAUUUAUUUGAAAGAGUUACACAGAGGGAGAAAGAGGUAGAGAGAGUCCUCCAUCCACUGGUUCACUCACCAGUGACCGCAAUGACUGGAGCUGCAGUGAUCCAGAGCCAGGAGCUUCUUCCAGGUCUCCCACAUGGGUACAGGGGCCCAAGGACUUGGGCCAUCUUUUACUGCUUUCUGAGGCCAUAGCAGAGAGCUGGAUCGGAAGUGGAGCAGCUGGGAUUCGAACUGGCGUCCACAUGCGAUGCCGGCACUGCAGGCGGCAGCUUUGCCUGCUAAGCCACAGCACUGGCGCCAUAGAGUAAACUUUUUUUAAUUUCAUUUUCUACAAACUGUUUGAAGUCCCUGCUUAUAUCAUAAAGCAAAUAUUUCUCAAGAAAUGGGACUUUCUCAGCUUGUAUCAUUUCCAUUUACAUCGUUGCCCCAACACCUAGAGGAGCUGCUAUUCUGGAUUUUACGCCAAUCAUUUCUUUGUUGUAUUUCAUUUUACCAUCUACAUAUCCCUAAACCUCAUGGUUUUAGGUUACCUGUUUAAACUUUAAAAGUAAUCAUUACUAGAAGAGAUCUUUUGUUCUGUGAUUCAGUGUUUGAUUUAAAAAAGUGAUGCAUAUGAUACACACAGCUGAACUUGUUUUGUUGUUUGUGAAUACCAUCCUAGAUUGAUCUGUUAGUGUUCUUUUGAAAAUCUGAGUUGUUAACUGAAUGGAACUGUUGUGAACAAUUCUCUGUGGUAUGUGUGCAUGUGUGUACGCUGAUGAACAUGCAGAUGCCUGUCUCUAGAGCGUACACCUGGGAAUGAAAUUAUGGGCUCUGAUUUCUGAUAUGUUCAUGUUUAAGAUCAAUGUGCUUUAUAUGGUGUUACUAUUUUACCUUUCCUCCUAUAGUUUGAGUGUUCAUCAGCACAUGGCAUUUUCAGAGUUUUAAUUUUUAAAGAGAUUUAUUUAUUUAUUUACUUGAAAGGCAGAGUUAAACAGAGUUCACUCCCCAAAUGGCUACAGCAGCCGGAGCUGGGCCAGGCAGAAGCUAGGAGCGAGGAGUCUCAUCUGGAGCCACACAGGGUGCUCAUUUUGGAAGCACAUAUACUAAAACUGGAGCCACAGGGGUGCAGGGACCCAAGCACUUGGGCCAUCUUCCACUACCUUCCCAGGCAGGGAGUUGGAUUGGAACUGGAAUAGUGGUGACUGGUACUGGAGUCCAUAUGGGAUGCUAGCACUGCAGGUGGCAGCUCUACUCAACAUCACAAUGCUGGCGACUACUUAGAAGCCUUUUAAAGCUAAAUUUUUGAUUGCAUGAAAAUUAUUUUCACCUCACAGGUGAAAGUGGAAAACAAAUUAGAAAUAAAAACAAAAAGGAUUCCCUACUUGCAAAUACAGGAAUAAUCUACAUAACAAACAACUUUAUGAGGGACUAAAAGAAAGCUCAAUACAGCAAGUAGAUGUAAUUUAAGUGUCAAAAAAAUCAGAAGUAUUUUUACUAUGUACACAGGUGAUAAAAGACUAGCCCACACUUCAAAGUACUCAGUACUUGAAAAGAGAACUGUGAACUAGAAUAUGUCUUGCAUAUGAGAGCUCAUAAUAAAAACUACCUAUAAUAUGUUCAACUCACUAUAAAAAAUUUUAGGGAAGGAUAAAAAAAAACUGCUUUUACUACAUGUUUAUACUACAGAAUAAGACUUUUUUAAAAUGCUUCUUAAAAUAUCCAUUAUGCUACAGGCAUAAGUACCAGUCCUAGAGAAUUAUUUAAAUACUAGCUUGUCAUUAGUCAUAGAGUACAUGACAUACACAUGAACAUUUCACUCUUCAACAGUGCAUUGUGUAGACUGUACCUGAUUUAAAAGAUGAAAUAUAAGCUCCUUACUAGUAUUCCUUUUUUUUUUUUUCUAUUUCUAUAUGUCAUGGCCCUGUGAGAAUCAAAUGUAAUCUACACAAACCCUGGACAAAGCCUUCAUCCUCUUUAUUCUUGCUGUGUCAACAUUUAUGAAACCAGAGAAUCAGUAAAGUGAAAAUUUUACGCCAUAGAAGUGACUUCAGCCAUUUUAAGAAUUUACCGCCCUCGUGAAAAGAUGCAGACUUUUACACCAUUGACACAGUGACAGAACUUGUAAUUGAGGACUGUUUUCUAAAUAAACAUAGCAGUCUCCUAGAUGUGGUCAGAUGACUUGAAAACAAUGGAUCUUUUCAAAACCGUUUUGGUUUUCAAGUAAGCUGCCAGUUAGGAGCUCAUACCAACUCUUGCUAGAGAAGGAAGAUUUUAAGAACUAAGGAGAGACAGUAUUUUCUGAUGGGCUUGUGCCAAGAAACUAAAGUGGAGGUUUGCUCUGUACAUGUAUAUACAUUUUAAUUAUUUGACUAAGACAAGUUUUUCUCCCCUUCCAUUCAUCUGAUUUUUUUGAGUUUUUCCUUUUGUUUUUCCUAGUAAGUAUUUUUGCUAUAAUAAAUACAAUCCUGUUUUGAAUGCCAGAGCUCACGCUCUGACUUGUUCUGUAAUCAGCGGUUGGCAAUGUGCAAUAUGCUCACAUGACCCAUGUUUAAAAUGAUCUGUUGGGAUGUAAGAGGAAGACAGUAAAGCUACUACUUUUGUUUCUCAUAUUUUCUAAAAGUUAAGCUCUAUUAUUAUUUAGCACAUAGGUCAAGAAUUGACUGCGUUUAUUUCCACCAGAGUUAAUAAGAAAUAGGAUAAACCAAAAGCACUGAACUGCAUUAAUGCCUAACCAUGCUGGAAACUGCAUACAAAAUAAAAGAUGUUAAAUCUCUAAUUUGUGUAUAAUCCUAAAGUUCAUAACGUAAAAGUCGAACAAAUUAGGGUUACUGUUUAUUCUUCGGAGAUAGAACAAGGCUAACCCUCAAAGAGAUCCCAUUAGAUCCUUGGGCCCCUGCACCCUCAAGGGAAACCUGGAGGCAGCUUCUGGUUCUGUCUGACCUGUCCUUGGCCAUUUCUGCCAUUUUGGGGGUGAGCCAGCAGAUGGAAGAUUUCUGUUUCUCCCCCUCUGUGUAACUGUGCCUUUCAAAUAAAUAGGAUAAUUUUCCCCCCAAAGGCUUCUAAGCAAACUAGAUACAUAGUCAAAUGUUUGUGGCCUUUGUGUUCAGUUUUGGAAACCAUGUAAAGAAAUUCACUAGAAGACCAAGUUAAUUUAACACGAGUGAAUUGAUGGCAGAGCCUUCAGCAUUGCAUGACCAGUCUUCUUUAUAAUACAUGGUUCAGUAACUUGUACCCAAAUGGAAAUGAAUACCCUUAUUGGGUGUGAAGUUGAAUUACAAGGUUGUACAACUAAAUAUACACUCCUAGUUUGUUAAGUUAUGGUGAAACCAUCUAUGUGCAGUAUUUUAAAUGGCUCUCCUUGUCACAGAAUAUUGUUAUCUUUUGUCUGGUCUUUCCCUCCUCCUCCCCACCCUCCUUAAAGACAUUUAUUUGGAAGGCAGAGAGAGAUUUUCCAUCCAUUCCUUCACUCUCCAGGUGGCUGCAGUGGCCAGGUAGGUCUGUGCCAGGCUGAAGCCAGGAGCCAGGAGCUUCUCAUGUUGAGUGGCAGGAGCCUAAGUACUUAGGCCAUCCUGAGCUGUUUUUCCAGAUGCCUUGGAUUUAGGAUGCCUGCUAACCCUGUGCACCACAGUGCUCGCCCCUGUCUGUCGUCUUUUCAGACCUCAGUUCAAUUCUUUUUUGUACAUUAAUGAUGUACAGGUGUGUCAUUCUGAGUUCCUCUUUUGCUUUUCCUCUUUGUGUUGGUUUACUUUACUUUUGACUUUAUUCUUGUAGUGCCUACCUGGGUAGCAUUGGAUAAUGUCUUCACUGGGAUUUUUGAAUUUUUUCCUUUUUCUCUUUUUGUGAGAUACAGAGGGACAGAUAGCGCCCAUCCUCAGAUGGGAAUGGGUCAUGCCGCAGCAAGGAACUGGGGACUCAGACCAGUGUCUCUACAUGAAACAAAAA